ACUUGUUUUUUUCUUCUCCAUAUGUUACUGCAUUAAAGCCAUGAGUAUGCUGCGUAGAAGAAGCGAGUUUUUUGUCUUCCUGGACAAUGCGUUUUCUGUGAAAUCAGAAAAGGAGGAGCCGAAAGAGGAGCGGCAGCUGAGUGCGUAUGAAGAGUAUCUGCAGGUGCUGCUUCAGAUGAAGAUGACCAGUUCUGAUCAGUUUGACAACUUGGAGAAGCACACACAGUGGGGGAUCGAAUUUGUGGAAAAGUACACCAAAUUCGUCAAGGAGAGAUCAGAGAUCGAAAUCAGCUAUGCAAAACAAAUUAGGAAUUUAUCAAAGAAAUAUCAGCCUAAGAAGAACUCACGAGAAGAGGAAGAGAGCAAGUACACCUUCUGUCGAGCCUUCCUGUCCACACUUAACGAAUUGAACGACUACGCCGGCCAGCACGAGGUCAUAGCGGAGAACCUGACGUCCCAAAUCAUCGCCGACCUUUCGCGCUACCUGCAGGAGCUCAAGGCUGAGAGGAAAUCGCACUUCCAUGAUGGACGUAAGGCCCAGCAGCACAUCGAGAGCUCGUGGAAACAGCUGGAAUCUUGUAAAAGAAGAUUCGAGCGAGACUGCAAGGAGGCCGACCGAGCACAGCAGUACUUCGAGAAGAUGGACGCCGACAUUAACGUGACGAAGGCUGAUGUGGAGAAGCGAAGUUCUCUGAAGGCACGACAGCAAGCUCAGAUGAGGCACCAGAUGGCUGCUGACAGUAAGGGCGAUUACUCCUCCUACCUGCAAAAGUUCAACCAGGAGCAGAAUGAACAUUAUUACACAAUCAUCCCUAACAUAUUCCAGAAACUUCAAGACAUGGAGGAGAAAAGAAUCGAGAGGCUAGGAGUGUGCAUGAAGACGUUCGCGGACGUGGACCGCCAAGUGCUGCCCAUCGUGGGGAAGUGUUUAGACGGCAUGACGAAGGCCGCCGAGUCCAUCGAGCCCAAAGCUGACUCGAAGCAGGUGGUGGAGUCCUACAAGUCCGGGUUCGAGCCCCCGGGAGACGUGGAGUUCCAGGACUACGGCCAGGCCAUGAAGAGGACGGCGUCGGACACCAGCCUGACGGAGUCCAGAGACGGCAAAGAGAAGCCGACCAAGCCCAAGACCAAACUGUGGCCUUUCAUUAAGAACAAGAACAAGCUUAUGUCCCUGUUAACGUCCCCCCACCAGCCCCCACCUGCCCCCCCAGCCUCAUCCCCGCCCUCACCCUCUGCUGUUCCCAACGACCCCCAGUCUCCCAAGCAGCACAAGGAGCCCCUCUCCCACCGCCUCAACGACUUCAUGACCUCCAAACCCAAAAUGCACUGCCUCCGGAGCCUGAGGCGAGGGCAGCAGUCUCCGCGCUCGCUCGUUUAUCACAAAGAGCUUAUGAAGAGGACUCUGGGCCGACCCACAUAUGCUUUCGAAGCAAGGCAAUAUGUUCUUUCUCUCAAGCUGAUCACACUCAAUUCCCACGUCCGGAAUCUCAUUGAGGGUUCUGGACCAGAGGACUUCAGUCACCUCCCGCCAGAGCAGAGGAGGAAGAAGCUGCAGGGCAAGAUCGAUGAGCUCAAUAAAGACAUCCAGAAAGAGAUGGACCAGAGGGACGCUCUGACUAAGAUGAAAGACGUGUACGUGAAGAACCCUCAGAUGGGAGACCCGGCCAGCGUGGACCCCCGGCUAUCAGAAAUCGGCCAGAACAUCGAGAAGCUGCAGGCUGAAGUGCAGAAAUUCGAGGGCUGGCUAGCAGAGGUGGAGGAGAGGAUGCCGUCGAAAAGCGACUCGCAUCGGAGAAGCGGGAUCUAUGAGACCCAGAACAGCACAGCAGUGAGCAACAACUGUGCUCAGGACAGAGAGAGGCCUCUGAGCAGCCCGGACGGCAGCUACACAGAGGAGCAGAAUUCAGAGACUCAGGUCAAAGCCAACCUCAACCCCAACCCCGCCUCGUCCACGCCCGAGUUCGACGACGAGUUCGACGACGAGGAGACCCUGCCCACCAUCGGCACCUGCAAGGCCUUGUACCCCUUCGACGGUAAGAACGAGGGCACCAUCUCGGUGGCGGAGGGCGAGCUGCUGUACGUCAUCGAGGAGGACAAAGGAGACGGCUGGACGCGCGUGCGGAGGAACGAGGACGAGGAGGGAUACGUCCCCACGUCCUACGUCGAGGUCAUUUUGGAAACAAAUGCCAAAGGUGCUAUGACAUAUAUUUAACUCCGCAAGUUCAUGCUCUGAAAAGCUCUUGUUUUUUUGAUUUUGUUUUUAUUUUUAUUCAUGGGGCGCGAGACUAAAGAUUGUCACUCAGAUGCACUGUCUCUGGACCAAUCAGAUUUGUCCGUUUGUGCCUCGUGACAUGUGAGAGACACUCGUGCCACUUCGUACUGCUGAAUGGGAAUCAAACUGAAUGUGAAGCGAGCCAAUCAGAUGCUGUGGAAGCAGUUUGCUUGCUGGGGUUUUUUUUUCCCAUCUUUUAUUCACUGCAGUGCCCCCUAGUGGUCUUCAGAAAUAAAGCAGUCAGACUUGAUCAUUAACGCUGCUAAAAGUGAUCGCCUGUACAUUUUUAAACUGUUUUUUUUUUUAAUUUUCUUUAUGUUGAAGUUGAAAAUUUUACCUUUUCAUAUUCCUUUUUAAAUUGACGCGCUCUCUUUGUUAAUUACUGUAUUUAAAAAAAAAAAAAUCAAAACGCUCUGCUAGAUCAGCGUUCGAACCACCUGAAGUGACGGUUAGCAUCAAGUGAAAUCAUCGUGUUUUGGUCACUUGUUGUACCUUAAAGGAAAAGCAUGCUCGAUGUGCAAUCAUGCAAAUGUAAUUUAAAUCUGCUGUAAAAUGUGAAUACAUACAAAGAGAUAUUUUUGUAGGCUAACUGGAAUAAAAGACAAAAAAAAAAGAAAGAAAUCCCCUUCAACUGUUGCAUGCUAUAGUUUAUAGUGUAGAUACAACAGGAAAAAGAACACAAACUUGUGGUUGUAUUUAUUCUCCUCUGCAUUGAUUUUUCACUAAAUUAACAGUCAAGUUAUUCUCAAAACAGUCCCUGAAUUUGUUGUUUUUUUCUUUCUUUUCUUUUAAAUAAUCCCUUUGAUAAUAGUGUCGGGCUGUUCUGGUCCUUUUCUUCCAGGCCAGUGGUAAAGGAAUUAAAGGACUGACAAUUAGCUGUACUAAGCUCUCUGAUUCCUAAAAGUUGUGAGGCUGGCUGAGGAACGGCAGGGCAAGCAGCCUCCGAGAAACCACCACGUCCCUCACGCGCUCGCAGAGCUCGAGUCAGAGAACGAAAGCGAGAGAUGACCUCGAUCUAAAACAAACCGAGAGACACGGCCGAUUAGAACGCAUCUGAAUUCCUCUUUCGAAAAAACAAACAGAAACGUACCAACGGCGUUCGCGCUUCCUCUGCGAGUUGAAGCCACGACGCGAGUAAUCCAUCUAAAUUUUAGCGCUCAUUCCCUUUUUUUUUUAUUUUCUCCUCCAUCUUUAACAUCCAUCCAGUCACGGCCAAGGUUGCCAGAGUUGCUUUUUGGUUUGUUUUUUGUUUUAUUUCCCCCUCCAGCAGCGCUUUUGCUUCUUUAAUGUAACUAACCGGCUUGCACCGCGCGUGGUCAUCUACGAAGCUUUUUGGCUUCCUCGCCGCCGCCCCCUCCCCCUUGGCUCUACUACUUCUUUUUUUACUCUACCUUUGCCCCAUCACACACACACACACACACACACACACGGCAGAGGGUGUGGUCAGAGACAGGACGGAGACCAACAGCAGCCUGCGGACUACAGACCAGAGAAAUUCACUCCCCCACGCUGAAGCCCUCACCCUCACCCCUUGAAAACGAACUCAUUAUUUGCAGGUUUCAUCCAGCCGGAAAGCCACGGUGCUAAACCGACUUAUCUCUGUGUUUUGAGCUCGUUGGUUUGAUGUGAAUGAUCGUGAGUGUUUGUGGACGUCUCGACUUCCUCCCUCGCCGCCACCGAUCCCACAUGCCUAGCGCCAGCCGGACAGGAAGCAGGGACAAAAAAAAAAAAAAAAAACAAAGAAAAAAAGGAAAGAUGAACGAAUGAUGGGUGUA